UACGAAGGGGGCUAGCGUUGCUCGGAAUCACUGGGCGUAAAGGGUGCGUAGGUGGUGAGGUAAGUCGGAUGUGAAAGCUCCGAGCUCAACUCGGAAAUGGCAUUGGAAACUACCUUGCUAGAGGGUUUGAGGGGGGACUGGAAUACUUGGUGUAGCGGUGAAAUGCGUAGAUAUCUGGAGGAACACCGGUGGCGAAGGCGGCAUCCUGGACCGGCAUUGACGCUGAAUAGCGAAAGCCAGGGGAGCAAAGCGGG
rnacentral:rRNA from 1 species